ACGAACGCUGGCGGCGUGCUUCACCCAUGCCAGUCGAACGGAAAGGCCCUGCUUUUGUGGGGUGCUCGAGUGGCGAACGGGUGAGUAACACGUGAGUAACCUGCCCUUGACUUUGGGAUAACUUCAGGAAACUGGGGCUAAUACCGGAUAGGAGCUCCUGCUGCAUGGUGGGGGUUGGAAAGUUUCGGCGGUUGGGGAUGGACUCGCGGCUUAUCAGCUUGUUGGUGGGGUAGUGGCUUACCAAGGCUUUGACGGGUAGCCGGCCUGAGAGGGUGACCGGCCACAUUGGGACUGAGAUACGGCCCAGACUCCUACGGGAGGCAGCAGUGGGGAAUAUUGCACAAUGGGCGGAAGCCUGGUGCAGCAACGCCGCGUGCGGGAUGACGGCCUUCGGGUUGUAAACCGCUUUCGCCUGUGACGAAGCGUGAGUGACGGUAAUGGGUAAAGAAGCACCGGCUAACUACGUG
rnacentral:rRNA from 1 species